rnacentral:rRNA from 1 species
CGGGACACGUGGUAUCCUGUCUGAAUAUGGGGGGACCAUCCUCCAAGGCUAAAUACUCCUGACUGACCGAUAGUGAACCAGUACCGUGAGGGAAAGGCGAAAAGAACCCCGGCGAGGGGAGUGAAAAAGAACCUGAAACCGUGUACGUACAAGCAGUGGGAGCACGCUUAGGCGUGUGACUGCGUACCUUUUGUAUAAUGGGUCAGCGACUUAUAUUCUGUAGCAAGGUUAACCGAAUAGGGGAGCCGAAGGGAAACCGAGUCUUAACUGGGCGUUAAGUUGCAGGGUAUAGACCCGAAACCCGGUGAUCUAGCCAUGGGCAGGUUGAAGGUUGGGUAACACUAACUGGAGGACCGAACCGACUAAUGUUGAAAAAUUAGCGGAUGACUUGUGGCUGGGGGUGAAAGGCCAAUCAAACCGGGAGAUAGCUGGUUCUCCCCGAAAGCUAUUUAGGUAGCGCCUCGUGAAUUCAUCUCCGGGGGUAGAGCACUGUUUCGGCAAGGGGGUCAUCCCGACUUACCAACCCGAUGCAAACUGCGAAUACCGGAGAAUGUUAUCACGGGAGACACACGGCGGGUGCUAACGUCCGUCGUGAAGAGGGAAACAACCCAGACCGCCAGCUAAGGUCCCAAAGUCAUGGUUAAGUGGGAAACGAUGUGGGAAGGCCCAGACAGCCAGGAUGUUGGCUUAGAAGCAGCCAUCAUUUAAAGAAAGCGUAAUAGCUCACUGGUCGAGUCGGCCUGCGCGGAAGAUGUAACGGGGCUAAACCAUGCACCGAAGCUGCGGCAGCGACGCUGAUGCGUUGUUGGGUAGGGGAGCGUUCUGUAAGCCUGUGAAGGUGUGCUGUGAGGCAUGCUGGAGGUAUCAGAAGUGCGAAUGCUGACAUAAGUAACGAUAAAGCGGGUGAAAAGCCCGCUCGCCGGAAGACCAAGGGUUCCUGUCCAACGUUAAUCGGGGCAGGGUGAGUCGACCCCUAAGGCGAGGCCGAAAGGCGUAGUCGAUGGGAAACAGGUUAAUAUUCCUGUACUUGGUGUUACUGCGAAGGGGGGACGGAGAAGGCUAUGUUGGCCGGGCGACGGUUGUCCCGGUUUAAGCGUGUAGGCUGGUUUUCCAGGCAAAUCCGGAAAAUCAAGGCUGAGGCGUGAUGACGAGGCACUACGGUGCUGAAGCAACAAAUGCCCUGCUUCCAGGAAAAGCCUCUAAGCAUCAGGUAACAUCAAAUCGUACCCCAAACCGACACAGGUGGUCAGGUAGAGAAUACCAAGGCGCUUGAGAGAACUCGGGUGAAGGAACUAGGCAAAAUGGUGCCGUAACUUCGGGAGAAGGCACGCUGAUAUGUAGGUGAAGUCCCUCGCGGAUGGAGCUGAAAUCAGUCGAAGAUACCAGCUGGCUGCAACUGUUUAUUAAAAACACAGCACUGUGCAAACACGAAAGUGGACGUAUACGGUGUGACGCCUGCCCGGUGCCGGAAGGUUAAUUGAUGGGGUCAGCGCAAGCGAAGCUCUUGAUCGAAGCCCCGGUAAACGGCGGCCGUAACUAUAACGGUCCUAAGGUAGCGAAAUUCCUUGUCGGGUAAGUUCCGACCUGCACGAAUGGCGUAAUGAUGGCCAGGCUGUCUCCACCCGAGACUCAGUGAAAUUGAACUCGCUGUGAAGAUGCAGUGUACCCGCGGCAAGACGGAAAGACCCCGUGAACCUUUACUAUAGCUUGACACUGAACAUUGAGCCUUGAUGUGUAGGAUAGGUGGGAGGCUUUGAAGUGUGGACGCCAGUCUGCAUGGAGCCGGCCUUGAAAUACCACCCUUUAAUGUUUGAUGUUCUAACGUUGACCCGUGAUCCGGGUUGCGGACAGUGUCUGGUGGGUAGUUUGACUGGGGCGGUCUCCUCCUAAAGAGUAACGGAGGAGCACGAAGGUUGGCUAAUCCUGGUCGGACAUCAGGAGGUUAGUGCAAUGGCAUAAGCCAGCUUGACUGCGAGCGUGACGGCGCGAGCAGGUGCGAAAGCAGGUCAUAGUGAUCCGGUGGUUCUGAAUGGAAGGGCCAUCGCUCAACGGAUAAAAGGUACUCCGGGGAUAACAGGCUGAUACCGCCCAAGAGUUCAUAUCGACGGCGGUGUUUGGCACCUCGAUGUCGGCUCAUCACAUCCUGGGGCUGAAGUAGGUCCCAAGGGUAUGGCUGUUCGCCAUUUAAAGUGGUACGCGAGCUGGGUUUAGAACGUCGUGAGACAGUUCGGUCCCUAUCUGCCGUGGGCGCUGGAGAACUGAGGGGGGCUGCUCCUAGUACGAGAGGACCGGAGUGGACGCAUCACUGGUGUUCGGGUUGUCAUGCCAAUGGCACUGCCCGGUAGCUAAAUGCGGAAGAGAUAAGUGCUGAAAGCAUCUAAGCACGAAACUUGCCCCGAGAUGAGUUCUCCCUGACUCCUUGAGAGUCCUGAAGGAACGUUGAAGACGACGACGUUGAUAGGCCGGGUGUGUAAGCGCAGCGAUGCGUUGAGCUAACCGGUACUAAUGAACCGUGAGG